rnacentral:rRNA from 1 species
UGUAAGACUGGGAUAACUCCGGGAAACCGGGGCUAAUACCGGAUGCUUGUUUGAACCGCAUGGUUCAAACAUAAAAGGUGGCUUCGGCUACCACUUACAGAUGGACCCGCGGCGCAUUAGCUAGUUGGUGAGGUAACGGCUCACCAAGGCAACGAUGCGUAGCCGACCUGAGAGGGUGAUCGGCCACACUGGGACUGAGACACGGCCCAGACUCCUACGGGAGGCAGCAGUAGGGAAUCUUCCGCAAUGGACGAAAGUCUGACGGAGCAACGCCGCGUGAGUGAUGAAGGUUUUCGGAUCGUAAAGCUCUGUUGUUAGGGAAGAACAAGUACCGUUCGAAUAGGGCGGUACCUUGACGGUACCUAACCAGAAAGCCACGGCUAACUACGUGCCAGCAGCCGCGGUAAUACGUAGGUGGCAAGCGUUGUCCGGAAUUAUUGGGCGUAAAGGGCUCGCAGGCGGUUUCUUAAGUCUGAUGUGAAAGCCCCCGGCUCAACCGGGGAGGGUCAUUGGAAACUGGGGAACUUGAGUGCAGAAGAGGAGAGUGGAAUUCCACGUGUAGCGGUGAAAUGCGUAGAGAUGUGGAGGAACACCAGUGGCGAAGGCGACUCUCUGGUCUGUAACUGACGCUGAGGAGCGAAAGCGUGGGGAGCGAACAGGAUUAGAUACCCUGGUAGUCCACGCCGUAAACGAUGAGUGC